rnacentral:rRNA from 1 species
CGAGCGGUAGCACGGGAGAGCUUGCUCUCUGGGUGACGAGCGGCGGACGGGUGAGUAAUGUCUGGGAAACUGCCUGAUGGAGGGGGAUAACUACUGGAAACGGUAGCUAAUACCGCAUGACCUCGCAAGAGCAAAGUGGGGGACCUUCGGGCCUCACGCCAUCGGAUGUGCCCAGAUGGGAUUAGCUAGUAGGUGGGGUAAUGGCUCACCUAGGCGACGAUCCCUAGCUGGUCUGAGAGGAUGACCAGCCACACUGGAACUGAGACACGGUCCAGACUCCUACGGGAGGCAGCAGUGGGGAAUAUUGCACAAUGGGCGCAAGCCUGAUGCAGCCAUGCCGCGUGUGUGAAGAAGGCCUUAGGGUUGUAAAGCACUUUCAGCGAGGAGGAAGGCGCUGUAGUUAAUAGCUGCAGCGAUUGACGUUACUCGCAGAAGAAGCACCGGCUAACUCCGUGCCAGCAGCCGCGGUAAUACGGAGGGUGCAAGCGUUAAUCGGAAUUACUGGGCGUAAAGCGCACGCAGGCGGUUUGUUAAGUCAGAUGUGAAAUCCCCGAGCUUAACUUGGGAACUGCAUUUGAAACUGGCAAGCUAGAGUCUUGUAGAGGGGGGUAGAAUUCCAGGUGUAGCGGUGAAAUGCGUAGAGAUCUGGAGGAAUACCGGUGGCGAAGGCGGCCCCCUGGACAAAGACUGACGCUCAGGUGCGAAAGCGUGGGGAGCAAACAGGAUUAGAUACCCUG